rnacentral:rRNA from 1 species
UACGUAGGGGGCUAGCGUUGUCCGGAAUCAUUGGGCGUAAAGAGCGUGUAGGCUGCUCGGUAAGUCCGCUGUAAAAGUCAAAGGCUCAACCUUUGAAUGUCAGUGGAUACUGCCGGGCUAGAGUCCGGAAGAGGCGAGUGGAACUCCUGGUGUAGCGGUGGAAUGCGCAGAUAUCAGGAAGAACACCGGUGGCGAAGGCGGUUCUCUGGGCAUUACCUGACGCUGAGGAGCGAAAGUGUGGGGAGCGAACAGG